UCUGAUGCCUCUAAUGUGAAAAGAAAAAAUUAAGUCAACAAAAGAAAGAAAAUGGCAUGACAAUCAAGGAGCGAGUCGGCUGAUUGGCAAUUUUGCGAAGCCAAUGUCGAAGAUGGCAAUUUAGAGAAGCCUCGUAUUGAAUGUGGCAAAUAUUCAAUUUGCUCAUUGUGGCACAUGACCUCCACCUCCCACCCCGUGCCACUCCAUCCACUCCCACGACCUCCACCUCACCCCGGAGGCAUCACGCAACGUCCAUCUCCUGCGUUGUCCGACCCUCCUUCCACCACUGGAUCCGACCGCCACGCCCCUGCCUUCCUCCACUCCGUCCUUGCACCGACCCACCCUACCCCAAACCCACCUUAGUCCUCCCCCACCCUAUCCACCUUCUUCCUCCCUAAUCCGCCAACUCCACCGGCUCAUGAUGUGGCCUUAACCACCGGAUCCGGCCACCACCGACCCCUGGCCCGGCCUCACCCACCAGAUCCGGCCGCCACCACCCCGUGCGACCACCACCGGAGCUCCCAUGUGCAGUUCCCCCGCUCCUUCUCCACCGAGGUGCUGGUAGCCGGCGCCGACCGCACCAUGCCACACGGGGCUAUGGCCAUGGAGAUCCCUACACCCUCCGAUGGCCCCCGUCCAGAACUUCACCGCCGACCCGGAGGACGUGCGGCACCCCACCGAAGGGCCCCUACUGGGCCGACUCAGGGCCCUUCAUCUGGUGCGUCUUCGUUCGGUCCGAUUCUUCGCUUGAUUCGAUUCAAUCCCUUGGUUGAUACAGUGAUGAUGAGGUGGUGUUUGUUGUUGUCUAUGUGGUUGGAUACAAGGUGAACUCGGCAUUCGGGAUGGUCGUGAACGAUGAGUGCAGGCUCAAGAUCCAGGAGCACAAGACGAAGCAGAGCUUCCAGUUCAUCACCCUCAAGAUCAACGAGAACACGCACUAGGUGGUGGUGGACAGGAAGUGCGAUAGCACGCCAACAAGCUUAACGCCUGCACCUACAGAUGGAAGCAACACGACCAUGGCGCCUCCCUGGUCACCUCCUCCCUGGACGCGAGAAGGGCGGUAGCUACACACUCAGCACCGGUUUUUCUGGGAUUUUAAUUUCCUUCUAAAAUGGCCUUUGUGCAUACCAGCCCCAGGAAUACUGUUAGCUGGUGAACAGACCCUUGAUACAAAUGUCCAAGCAAAUUGCAAAUCUGAGGAACAAGACCAAGGUGUUCUAUGGA